rnacentral:snoRNA from 1 species
UGUGCACAUUGUUAGAGCUUGGAGUUGAGGCUCCCGGCUGACCUGUGUGCUAUACGAGGAGCAAGAUUUUUGCUAACACUCCACUCCGGCCCAGUGCAUGGAGUUUGAUAUUAAUCCUUGCUACAGGU